rnacentral:rRNA from 1 species
GACGAACGCUGGCGGCGUGCCUAAUACAUGCAAGUAGAACGCUGAAGAGAGGAGCUUGCUCUUCUUGGAUGAGUUGCGAACGGGUGAGUAACGCGUAGGUAACCUGCCUGGUAGCGGGGGAUAACUAUUGGAAACGAUAGCUAAUACCGCAUAAAAUUGAUUAUUGCAUGAUAAUUAAUUGAAAGAUGCAAUUGCAUCACUACCAGAUGGACCUGCGUUGUAUUAGCUAGUUGGUGAGGUAACGGCUCACCAAGGCGACGAUACAUAGCCGACCUGAGAGGGUGAUCGGCCACACUGGGACUGAGACACGGCCCAGACUCCUACGGGAGGCAGCAGUAGGGAAUCUUCGGCAAUGGGGGGAACCCUGACCGAGCAACGCCGCGUGAGUGAAGAAGGUUUUCGGAUCGUAAAGCUCUGUUGUAAGAGAAGAACGGGUGUGAGAGUGGAAAGUUCACACUGUGAC